UGUCAUUAAAGAAGGUGCAAUCCAUCAUGUGGGUUAAGAUAUCUGUCGCCAUUCACACUGAAGCUCUGUCAAGACAAUGCUAGAGUAUCCUGUAUAUUUGCUGCAGUUUUCACCACCUGGAGAAGAAAUUAAAAGCUCAAAAUUGAAAAAAGAGCUGUUACCACUAGACGUGUUACUGGACGGGAACUGGAGCCGGGUUAGAGUGCAGGAGCUCUCCAGGUCCUAGCGCUGGCCGGUUCUAGCUCGGUGUUUGGAGACCCGCCCGUGAUCUGAUGAGAGCAG